rnacentral:rRNA from 1 species
GACGAACGCUGGCGGCGUGCCUAAUACAUGCAAGUAGAACGCUGAAGGAGGAGCUUGCUUCUCUGGAUGAGUUGCGAACGGGUGAGUAACGCGUAGGUAACCUGCCUGGUAGCGGGGGAUAACUAUUGGAAACGAUAGCUAAUACCGCAUAAUAGCAGUUGUUGCAUGACAACUGUUUGAAAGGUGCAAUUGCACCACUACCAGAUGGACCUGCGUUGUAUUAGCUAGUUGGUGGGGUAACGGCUCACCAAGGCGACGAUACAUAGCCGACCUGAGAGGGUGAUCGGCCACACUGGGACUGAGACACGGCCCAGACUCCUACGGGAGGCAGCAGUAGGGAAUCUUCGGCAAUGGACGGAAGUCUGACCGAGCAACGCCGCGGGAGUGAAGAAGGUUUUCGGAUCGUAAAGCUCUGUUGUAAGGGAAGAACGAGUGUGAGAGUGGAAAGUUCACACUGUGACGGUAUCUUACCAGAAAGGGACGGCUAACUACGUG